rnacentral:lncRNA from 1 species
UUUUCUGCCCUCCGUCCUGCCCCGUCCAUGAUGCUCUGCGGCCUCUGGAAGGGGGUGCCAUCGGCCCAGGGUUCCUGGUUUUAUGUUGCCAUGUGACUUUCUUCCUUUCCUUCUUAAGGAUGACAGGUGUUGAACAAAUAUUUAUUGAGUUCCUUCUAGUGCCAGACACACUGAGGAACAAGCACUGUGCCAAUUAGACGCUUGGCGACAAACAGUAGAAACAAAUUCUGAAUAACCUAAGCAAAAAAAAAAAAAAAGAAAAGAAAAAGCGGUGUUAAGCAGCUCGUAGAGGAGACUAGAGGUGGGAAAGGGGGUGGGGACGGAGGCAGAGCAUGUGUGGGCAAAGUCACGAAGGGGGAGAGUGACCGAGGGCCACCACGGCCACCACAGCUCCUCCAGCCUGCUGGUGCCCCACUGCGUCCGGCUGCCACUCAUUCUGCGCCACCAGGUCAGGAAUCCUAGUUCAAGCAAAACCUCCUGACUGGGCAAGGGCAGGGCUCGGCCCCCUGAAAGCUGCCAGGACCUGGGAUUUGGGUAGAAGCGGGCCAGAGCUUCAGCAGAGCAGGCAUCUUCUGGACGAGGAGCCAGGCUCUCCGCCCGCCACCCUUGAUUGGAGAAAAGAGGCCCUGAUGUCAUCCCCAGCAUCAGCCAUCUGCCUGCCACCAGCACGGGAGGCGUCUCAGCAGCCCCCUCCCAGGGUAAGUGACAGAAGACCCUUGAGUGUGGCCUUGAAAUCUCAAGGUUAUUUAUAACUUGAUAACUGAACCAGGGCUGGGUGUGGUGAAAAGUGGUCUCCUCCCAAGACGCCCAGGGCAGCAUCUCUAAGUCUGUGGGGGUGCUCAUGAGACUGGCCAUGCGGCAGGCUUUUCUCUGUGAAGAUGAAGCUGGUUGCGCAUUAUUGCUGGGUGUGUAUUAUUCCCUUUAGGGCGAGGGUGUUGUCUUAUAUGUGAGGAUAUGUGUCUCCAAAAAUCCAGUGCUUACUUCUAGACAUAAUCAAAAUUACCCAUCCAUCCAUCCACCCAUCUUUUAUUUUUUUUUAAUUUUUUUUUAUUUUUUAUUUUUUUUGUCUUUUGUCUUUUUUGUUGUUGUUGUUGUUGCUGUUGUUAUUGUUGCUAUUUCUUGGGCCGCUCCCGCGGCACAUGGAGGUUCCCAGGCUAGGGGUCGAAUCGGAGCUGUAGCCCCCAGCCUAUGCCAGAGCCACAGCAACGCAGGAUCCGAGCCGCGUCUGCAACCUACACCACGGCUCACGGCAACGCCGGAUCGUUAACCCACUGAGCAAGGCCAGGGAUCGAAUCCGCAACCUCAUGGUUCCUAGUCGGAUUCGUUAACCACUGCGCCACGACGGGAACUCCCCACCCAUCUUUUAAAGUCUAUUUAAAAAAACACCCAAACACAAUAACUCUUCAGUGUGCAGCAAAAUAGAUUCUGUAAGUGAUAGAGAGGAACCAACCCCUCCAGUCACUAACAUGUUGCUAAAUUUUUAGUAUUUAUUAUUGUGCUGUAACUUGAUUUGGGUUUUAGAAGUAGCGGUUUUUGUUUUGUUUUGUUUUGUUUUGUUUUUUUGUUUUUUUUUUUUGGUAGGGCCACACCUGUAGCAUAUGGAAGUUCCCAGGCUAGGGGUCCAAUCAGAACUGCAGCUGCUGGUCUACACCACAGCCACAGCAAUGAUAGAUUUGAGCCUCGUCUGCACCCUACCCUGCAGCUCACGGUAAUGCCAGAUCCUUAACCUACUGAGUGAGGCCAGGGAUCGAA